rnacentral:tRNA from 1 species
UCCCUUGUGGCUCAGUUGGUAGAGCAUGGUGUUUGCAAUGCCAGGGUUGUGGGUUCGAUUCCCACGGGGGAC